rnacentral:rRNA from 1 species
AUGCGACUAGCCGCCAUGGAGACCUCCCCUCAUCUAAAGCUCUUCACGCUUGCCCUGCUACUAGCCUCGAUUCCCCACGCCAUGGCAGCACCACCCCCAUCCCUCCUGGAAGAACAGGCAGGCGCCCUCCUUGCCUGGAAAGCCACCAUACAGAGCCCCCCAGCCCAGCUCCAGUCUUGGGGAAACACCACAACACGGCCAUGCGGCUGGUACGGCAUCAAGUGCGGCAAGCAUCCAGCGAGGAACCAGGAGGUGGUGAUCACCGAGAUCACUCUUCGGGGGUUGCGGCUGAGGGCGAGGCUAGAGGCCCUCAACUUCACGGCGUUGCAUACUCUCACGAGUAUCCGACUUCCCUACAAUCAGAUAAGAGGCCCCUUUCCACCCGCUUUAGCAUCAUCCUUGCCAAACCUGCGGCACCUACUGCUCCAGGGGAAUAACAUUUCCGGUGAAAUACCAUGCCAAAUAAAACACCUAGAGAGUCUAGUGGGGCUGAACUUGUCAAAAAACCACUUGUCUAGUCAAAUACCCAUAGAAGUAGGAUACCUAAAGAAACUGAUCAGGCUAGAUUUUUUCAGCAACAACCUCACAGGCCCCAUUCCAAAAAGUCUAGUGAAUUGUACUAAACUCACUAUCUUGCACCUAUCGGCUAAUCAACUUUCUGGUUGCAUUCCUCCGGAAGUAGGUUACCUGGUGAAUUUACAACGGCUGGAUCUUAGCAACAACACACUCAUAGGUUCCAUUCCUGAUACCUUUAGAAAUUUGACAAAGCUCACUACCUUGUACCUACAUACUAACCAACUUUCUAGGUGUAUUCCCCCAGAACUAGGUUACUUGAUGAAUCUAGAAAAGUUGGAUCUUAGCAUAAACAAACUCAUGGGUCCCAUCCCCCAUGCCUUUGGAAAUUUGACCAAACUCACUACCUUAUACCUAAGGGGUAACCAACUCUCCGGCUAUAUUCCUCGAAAACUAGGCUAUCUUGUGAAUCUAGAAGGUUUGGGUCUUGGCAGAAACAAACUCGUGGGUUCCAUCCCCGGUGCCUUUGAAAAUUUGACAAAGCUCACUGGUUUGUACCUAUGGGAUAAUCAACUCUCCGGAUAUAUUCCUCGAGAACUAGGUUCCCUAUUGAAUCUAGAAGACUUUGAACUUCAACACAAUCAACUCAUGGGUUGCAUCCCCAAUAUGUUUGGAAAUUUGACCAAGCUCACUACAUUGCUCCUAUGGGGUAAUCAAUUCUCCGGGGGCAUUCCUCGAGAACUAGGUCACUUGGUGAAUCUGGAGAGCUUGGACCUUAGUGCAAACAAACUCAUGGGUUCCAUCCCCAAUGCCUUUGGAAAUUUGACCAAGCUCCCUAUCUUGAACCUAUUUAAUAACCAACUCUCCGGACAUGUUCCUCGAGAACUAGGUUCCCUGGUAAAUCUAGAAGUGUUGGGUCUUAACAACAACACACUGAUGGGUUCCAUCCCCAAUACCUUUGGAAAUUUGACCAAGCUCACUAGCUUGCUCCUAUGGGGUAACCAAUUCUCAGGGGGCAUUCCUCAAGAACUAGGUCACUUGGUGAAUCUGGAAAGCUUGGACCUUAGUGCAAACAAACUCAUGGGUUCCAUCCCCAAUGCCUUUGGAAAUUUGACCAAGCUCCCUACCUUGCAAUUAUGGCGUAACCAACUUUCCGGUUGUAUUCCUCGAGAGCUAGGUUCCCUUGUGAGUCUAGAAGACUUGGACCUUAGCACAAACAAACUCACUGGUUCCAUCCCUAAUACAUUAGGAAAUUUGACCAAGCUCACUACUUUAUACCUCAAUGAUAAUCAGUUCUACGGGCAUGUUCCAAAAGAAACUGGUAGCUUAAUGAAUCUCAAAUAUCUACAAAUUGAUGGUAACAAUCUCUCUGGUCCAUUGCCACCUGAUUUGUGCGCUGGUGGCAUGCUCAAGAGAUUAACUGCACAUGGAAACAAUCUCAACGGACCUCUGCCAUCAAGUUUAGUAAAUUGCAAAAGCCUAGUUAGAGUUCGUCUUGAAAGCAAUAAAAUUGAAGGAGAUAUUUCUGAGAUGGGAGUUUAUCCAAAUCUGGUCUACAUAGAUAUGAGCUCAAAUAAAUUGUUUGGUCAAUUAUCUUAUCACUGGGGAGGAUGUCAUAAUCUUACAAUGCUAAGAAUCUCAAACAACAACCUUGCCGGGGAAAUACCGACAAGUUUGGGGCAACUAUCUGGACUAAGGAUACUUGAUCUUUCGUCAAACAAGCUUGAAGGAGAGAUUCCAAGUGCACUAGGCAAUCUAAGAGAAUUGUUCAACCUGAGCCUCGCGGUCAAUUUGUUCCAUGGUAGCAUUCCACGAGAAAUUGGUGCAAUGUCGAGUUUGGAAUUACUGGAUUUGUCAUCAAAUAACCUUAAUGGUUUGGCGCAAGACUCAAUCAAGAAUUGUUUGAGGCUUCGCCUUUUGAAGUUGAAUAACAAUAACUUCAAAGGAAACAUCCCCGCCGAGCUAGGCUUAUUGCGCAACCUACAUGACCUAUUGGAUUUAAGUGAAAAUUCAUUUACUGGGGCAAUACCAAGCCAACUUAGUGGUUUGGUCAUGCUAGAUACUCUUAAUCUGUCACACAAUGAACUUAAUGGCUCCAUCCCGUCAUCAUUUCAAUAUAUGAGAAGCUUGACAACCAUUGAUCUAUCUUACAAUGAAUUGGAGGGGCCGGUACCGGAUAGUAAGGUCUUCCAAGGAGCUUCAGUCCAGCAGUUCAUGCAUAAUAAGAUGUUAUGUGGUGUGGUGAAAGGAUUGCCCCCUUGCAAUAGUGCAAUUCAGAGCAGAGGGGGUAGGGAGGGAUACAAAAUACUUGUAUUAGCCACCGUUCCUGCCCUUAUAUCUCUUGUUGUUGUUGCGGUGCUAUUGAUGUUUUGUCAUGAAAGGAAGAAACCCAAGGAAACGAACACUGAUAAAGUAACGCAAGCAAUUACCUUCUCUAUUUGGAGUGUUGAUGGGGCAAAUGUUUUCAAGCAAAUCAUUGAAGCAACCAACAAUUUUAGCGAGAUGCACUGCAUAGGAAUUGGGGGUUAUGGAUCUGUCUACAAAGCUAAACUUGCAACACGUGAAAUAUUUGCAGUGAAGAAGAUACAUAUGAUAGAAGAUGGGUGUUGCUUGAAUGAGACGGUAUUCAAUCGUGAAAUCGAGUCACUGAUGAAGAUUCGUCAUCGAAACAUCAUAAAAUUGUUUGGGUAUUGUUCGUCUAGCCAAGGUAGAUUCCUUAUCUAUGAAUACAUGGAGGGAGGAGACCUGGCAAAAACACUGAAGGACAAUAAAAGGGCAAUUGAAUUGGACUGGAGAAGGCGGAUACAUAUCAUGUUGGAUGUGGUUCAUGCAUUGGCAUACAUGCAUCAUGAUUGCUCAACACCAAUAGUCCAUCGAGAUAUAACGAGCAACAACAUUUUGCUUAAUCUAGAAUUUAGAGCAUGCAUAUCUGACUUCGGUACAGCAAAAAUUCUCAAUAUUGAUGGCCGAAAUCACACAAGGCUUGCUGGGACGAAAGGCUAUCUUGCCCCAGAGCUAGCAUAUACAGAAAAUAUGACGGAGAAAUGUGAUGUAUACAGCUUUGGAGUGCUUGUUUUGGAGCUAUUUAUGGGAUCUCAUCCAGGCGAUUUUCUCUCAUCCCUCUCGUUGGCCAACAAGAUCAAUGUUGUGUGCCUGCAGGAUUUGCUGGACCCCAGGCUUGUGAUUCCAGAUGCUGAGACUGCUAGAAGAAUAUAUUGCAUGCUUAGUGUCGCAGCUCAGUGUCUGGAGCCACGUCCAUCACACAGGCCAACAGCACGACAAGCCAGUGAUGAGCUAUCUACGACUAAAGCUUGUGGAGAUCAUGUUGAUUAUUUGCAUGCUGGUAUUACCUUUCCUGCAUUGUAG